rnacentral:lncRNA from 1 species
AAAAAUACAUGCAUGUGUAUGUGAGUGUGUGUGUGUGUGCAUGACAUAACUGGAUGUCAUGUUAGCAGGCAGUCCAUGGUUCAAGGAGUAAUUAUAACUUUCAAGCCUUAUUAUUUAGGCUUACUAUUUACAUUGUGUAAGCCUAUAUAUAGCUGCCAUAGAUAGUGAUUCCUCUGAUGGAUGUGGGCAAAGUAAACUAAAAACCUUCUGGAAAUAAUUCACCAUUCUAGAUGCCAUCAAGAACAUUUGUGAUUCACAGGAGAUCAAAGUAACAUUAUCAGGAGUUUGGAAGAAGUUGGUUCCAA